rnacentral:rRNA from 1 species
GACGAACGCUGGCGGCGUGCUUAACACAUGCAAGUCGAACGGUAAGGCCCCAGCUUGCUGGGGUACACGAGUGGCGAACGGGUGAGUAACACGUGGGAGACCUGCCCCGCACUUCGGGAUAAGCCUGGGAAACUGGGUCUAAUACCGGAUACGACCGCACCGAGUGGGUGUGGUGGAAAGUUUUUCGGUGGGGGAUGGGCCUGCGGCCUAUCAGCUUGUUGGUGGGGUAAUGGCCUACCAAGGCGGCGACGGGUAGCCGGCCUGAGAGGGUGGACGGCCACAUUGGGACGGAGACACGGCCCAGACUCCUACGGGAGGCAGCAGUGGGGAAUAGUGCACAAUGGGCGGAAGCCUGAUGCAGCGACGCCGCGUGGGGGAUGAUGGCCUUCGGGUUGUAAACUCCUUUCACCAUCGACGAAGGUUUUCUGACGGUAGAUGGAGAAGAAGCACCGGCUAACUACGUG